UACGUAGGGGGCAAGCGUUGUCCGGAAUCAUUGGGCGUAAAGAGCGCGUAGGCGGUCCAGUAAGUCCGCUCUGAAAGUCCGGGGCUCAACCCCGGGAGGCGGGCGGAUACUGCUGGGCUAGAGUCCGGAAGAGGCGAGUGGAAUUCCUGGUGUAGCGGUGAAAUGCGCAGAUAUCAGGAAGAACACCCGUGGCGAAGGCGGCUCUCUGGGACGGUACUGACGCUGAGACGCGAAAGCGUGGGGAGCGAACAGG
rnacentral:rRNA from 1 species